rnacentral:tRNA from 1 species
UAGUAUAAUUGGUAGUACGGAGGAUUUUGGGUCUUCAGGAGCAGGUUCGGGGCCUGUUUUUCUA